rnacentral:rRNA from 1 species
UACGUAGGGUGCGAGCGUUGUCCGGAAUUACUGGGCGUAAAGAGCUCGUAGGUGGUUUGUCGCGUUGUUCGUGAAAACUCACAGCUCAACUGUGGGCGUGCGGGCGAUACGGGGCAGACUAGAGUACUGCAGGGGAGACUGGAAUUCCUGGUGUAGCGGUGGAAUGCGCAGAUAUCAGGAGGAACACCGGUGGCGAAGGCGGGCUCUCGGUGGCUACUGACGCUGAGGAGCGAAAGCGUGGGUAGCAAACAGGAUUAGAACCCGUACGU